rnacentral:rRNA from 1 species
CGGAGGGUGCGAGUCGUGUUCGGAUUUAUUGGGCGUAAAGGGCGCGCAGGCGGUUUUCCAAGUCUGAUGUGAAAGCCCCGGGCUUACCCCGGGAAGUGCAUUGGAAACUGGGAGACUUGAGUACGGAAGAGGAGAGUGGAAUUCCUGGAGUAGGGGUGAAAUCCAUAGAUAUCAGGAAGAAGACCGGUGGCGAAGGCGGCUCUCUGAUACGAUACUGACGCUGAGGCGCGAAAGCAUGGGGAGCAAACAGGAUUAGAUACCCUGGUAGUCCAUGCCGUAAACGAUGAGAACUAGGUGUUGCGGGUAUUGACCCCUGCAGUGCCGCAGCUAACGCAUUAAGUUCUCCGCCUGGGAAGUACGGUCGCAAGACUA